GAAUGUGAUACCUCAUUUCGAUGCAUAUCCCUUUCUUUCAUCAGUAUGGGGCUGAUUGAAGCCAAUAGGAGGAGCCCUUCUUAAAGACCUAGUUUCAGGGUGUAAGGGAGAGAGGACUGCUUACUACUUGUUAAAAGAGAAAGCAGCGACAAAAACACAACUGUAAUGGUGCCCCUCACUACAAGAUUAACUUUGACAU
rnacentral:lncRNA from 1 species